UGAUCUGGAGCAAGCGAAGAGCCUCAAUCUUAUCCUCGUCUUUGAGGUUCUCUUGGCCUAAAAUCUCAAGAAGAGUCAAAACUGCACCCAUUUCCAGAAAUUCCAUCAGCAGCACAUCAGAGGGAAUCUAUAGCAGGAUGAAGACAACACAUUCACAACCAAAACUACAGGAGCCAACAACAUUGAUAUAUAUCAUCCAUAGAAGAACUGCAAGAUGCUGAUAUUGAUGUUCACAUUAUGCUUUCAAGACAUCAUCAAUGCCAAACCCCAGGAUUAAGUGACCCACCAUCACCCUGACCUGUACAGGACUGCCUUAAUCCACCACCAACCUAAAUCCACAGUGUGCUGCUAAUAAGAGAUAUGUCAGGACAUCAACCUCACACAUCCUUAAUAUGAGAUUCCUAAAUUCAGGAGGUUUUUGCUCUGCUCAGAAGUGGAGAAAACUGAACACGAUGUCCAAGUGCUGCAACCCAACCUAAAAGCCAGAGGGCAGCAUAUGCUACUAAAUGUAGCUCUGUUAUAUAUAAGA